GACGAACGCUGGCGGCGUGCUUAACACAUGCAAGUCGAACGGAAAGGCCCUGCGUUUGUGGGGUGCUCGAGUGGCGAACGGGUGAGUAACACGUGAGUAACCUGCCCUUGACUUUGUGAUAACUUCAGGAAACUGGGGCUAAUACCGGAUAGGAGCUCCUGCUGCAUGGUGGGGGUUGGAAAGUUUCGGCGGUUGGGGAUGGACUCGCGGCUUAUCAGCUUGUUGGUGGGGUAGUGGCUUACCAAGGCUUUGACGGGUAGCCGGCCUGAGAGGGUGACCGGCCACAUUGGGACUGCGAUACGGCCCAGAAUCCUACGGGAGGCAGCAGUGGGGAAUCUUGCACAAUGGGCGGAAGCCUGAUGCAGCAACGCCGCGUGCGGGAUGACGGCCUUCGGGUUGUAAACCGCUUUGGCCUGUGCCGUAGCGAGAGUGACGGUAAUGAGUAAAGAAGCACCGGCUAACUACGUG
rnacentral:rRNA from 1 species